GAUGAACGCUGGCGGCGUGCCUAAUACAUGCAAGUCGAGCGAACGGACGAGAAGCUUGCUUCUCUGAUGUUAGCGGCGGACGGGUGAGUAACACGUGGAUAACCUACCUAUAAGACUGGGAUAACUUCGGGAAACCGGAGCUAAUACCGGAUAAUAUUUUGAACCGCAUGGUUCAAAAGUGAAAGAAGGUAUUGCUGUCACUUAUAGAUGGAUCCGCGCUGCAUUAGCUAGUUGGUAAGGUAACGGCUUACCAAGGCAACGAUGCAUAACCGACCUGAAAGGGUGAACGGCCAGACUGGAACUGAGACACGGUCCAGACUCCGACGGGAGGCAGCAGUAGGGAAUCUUCCGCAAUGGGCGAAAGCCUGACGGAGCAACGCCGCGUGAGUGAUGAAGGUCUUCGGAUCGUAAAACUCUGUUAUUAGGGAAGAACAUAUGUGUAAGUAACUGUGCUCAUCUUGACGGUACCUAAUCAGAAAGCCACGGCUAACUACGUG
rnacentral:rRNA from 1 species